rnacentral:rRNA from 1 species
AACAAGGUUUCCGUAGGUGAACCUGCGGAAGGAUCAUUACCGAGUGAGGGUCCCUCGGGGCCCAACCUCCCAUCCGUGUUGUCCUGACACCUGUUGCUUCGGCGGGCCCGCCGUGGUUCACGCCCCGGCCGCCGGGGGGUUCACGCCCCCGGGCCCGCGCCCGCCGAAGACCCCUGGAACGCUGCCUGGAAGGUUGCCGUCUGAGUAUACAAUCAAUCAAUUAAAACUUUCAACAACGGAUCUCUUGGUUCCGGCAUCGAUGAAGAACGCAGCGAAAUGCGAUAAGUAAUGUGAAUUGCAGAAUUCCGUGAAUCAUCGAAUCUUUGAACGCACAUUGCGCCCCCUGGCAUUCCGGGGGGCAUGCCUGUCCGAGCGUCAUUGCUAACCCUCCAGCCCGGCUGGUGUGUUGGGCCGCCGUCCCCCCUCCCCGGGGGACGGGCCCGAAAGGCAGCGGCGGCGUCGCGUCCGGUCCUCGAGCGUAUGGGGCUCUGUCACACGCUUCAGUAGAACCGGCCGGCUUGCUGGCCACACGACCUUCACGGUCACAUAUAUUUCUCUUAGGUUGACCUCGGAUCAGGUAGGGAUACCCGCUGAACUUAAGCAUAUCAAUAAGCGGAGGAAAAGAAACCAACAGGGAUUGCCCCAGUAACGGCGAGUGAAGCGGCAAGAGCUCAAAUUUGAAAUCUGGCCCCUCCGGGGUCCGAGUUGUAAUUUGCAGAGGAUGCUUCGGGCGCGGUCCCCGUCUAAGUACCCUGGAACGGGUCGUCAUAGAGGGUGAGAAUCCCGUCUGGGACGGGUGGCCGUGUCCGUGUGAAGCUCCUUCGACGAGUCGAGUUGUUUGGGAAUGCAGCUCUAAAUGGGUGGUAAAUUUCAUCUAAAGCUAAAUAUUGGCCGGAGACCGAUAGCGCACAAGUAGAGUGAUCGAAAGAUGAAAAGCACUUUGAAAAGAGAGUUAAACAGCACGUGAAAUUGUUGAAAGGGAAGCGCUUGCGACCAGACUCGCCCGCGGGGGUUCAGCCGGUACUCGUACCGGUGUACUCCCCCGGGGGCGGGCCAGCGUCGGUUUGGGCGGUCGGUCAAAGGCCUCCGGAAUGUGUCGCCCCCCGGGGCGUCUUAUAGCCGGAGGUGCAAUGCGGCCAGCCUGGACCGAGGAACGCGCUUCGGCUCGGACGCUGGCGUAAUGGUCGUAAGCGGCCCGUCUUGAAACACGGGCCAAGGAGUCUAACAUCUACGCGAGUGUUCGGGUGUCAAACCCGUCCGCGCAGUGAAAGCGAACGGAGGUGGGAACCCCCCCCGGGGUGCACCAUCGACCGAUCCUGAUGUCUUCGGAUGGAUUUGAGUAAGAGCGUAGCUGUUGGGACCCGAAAGAUGGUGAACUAUGCCUGAAUAGGGCGAAGCCAGAGGAAACUCUGGUGGAGGCUCGCAGCGGUUCUGACGUGCAAAUCGAUCGUCGAAUUUGGGUAUAGGGGCGAAAGACUAAUCGAACCAUCUGGUAGCUGGUUCC